rnacentral:rRNA from 1 species
UACGAGGGGGGCAAGCGUUGUCCGGAAUCACUGGGCGUAAAGGGCGCGUAGGCGGCUCAUGAAGGCUGUGGUGAAAGUCCGGGGCUCAACCUCGGAUCGGCCGUGGCGACUCGUGGGCUGGAGCACUGUAGAGGCGGGUGGAAUUCCGGGUGUAGCGGUGGAAUGCGUUAGAGAUCCGGAAGAACACCAGUGGCGAAGGCGGCCCGCUGGGCAGUGGCUGACGGCUGAGGCGCGACAGCGUGGGGGAGCAAACAGG